CCAUACAAUUUAAUUAGGCAUAUGGAAAAAGCAAGUAUCCCGGCUGCAACACCAUGAACAUAUAGACCAUGCAGGUCGGAUGCAUGAUAAACCUAGGCUUGUAACACUCACAUAUGACAAAGAUAUUGUCAACAUAAUAGCUAGAGUACUCAGGAAGGAUGACGCAUGUAUGCUGGUUCCAAAACGACGUCCUACGCUGUUCAAGCUCCUAUGGAAUGGCAAAGACCCUGUCCCAGAGGACCGAAAGGCGGGAAUAUAUACGGUCCCCUUAUACAACCAUAGUGAAAACCGGAACCAAUGUUAUGUUGGCAGCACUAAACGAAACCUGAAAAAAACGGAUAGAGGAACAUAAGGCAGACAUUGCUAGUGGUAGACUUACCACAGCCCUCGCAACGAAGAGCUACGAACAGGAUAUCG
rnacentral:lncRNA from 1 species